CCAAUACGUCAUCGCUAAUCACAAUCCAUCCAUUUAUCACGGCUACAAAUACCCACUACAACAAUGACACAACAUGCCCAUCACAAAAUACCCACAAGAUUCCCAUUCACCAACUCUGGUUUUCUUCCCAUUUCCAUGGCUUCUCUGCUCGCCCUCUCUGUUCUCACUCUCUUUCUUCUCCUCUCUUCCUCCUCUGCCAUCCCCAAUAACCACCGUCAUAAAUCAAAACCACCCUCACCAUCGUCUAUUUCUGCCCCACCUGAGAUUCUCCAGGCUUGUGAAGCCACCAGAUUCCCAGAUAUCUGCGCAUCAUCUUUUGCCGAUUCCAAACAUGUCCCUCCGAACCCAACUCCUCUCCAAAUCAUCCAAUCGGCGAUUUCUUUCUCCGCUACUAAUCUCCAAACUGCCCAAUCAAUGGUCAAGUCCAUUCUAGCCAACUCCGCCGGCAAUGUAAACCGCACGACCGCAGCUAAAAACUGCAUAGAACAACUCGGUAAUUCCGAGUAUCGUAUCUCAUCAACGCUCGAUGCUUUGCCACGUGGGAGGAAUAAGGAUGCGAGAGCUUGGAUGGGCGCGUCUCUGGUUUAUCAGUACGAUUGCUGGAACAAUUUCAAGUACGCAAACGACACGUCGCAGACCAACGAAACGAUGGCGUUUUUGAAUACACUGCAAAUGAUAACCAGCAAUGCUUUGAGCAUGCUUAUGGCUUACGACGUAUACGGGAACCAGACCACGUCGUGGACACCACCGAAGACGGAGCGGGACGGGUUUUGGGAGGGUUCCGGGUCGGGCGGUAAUCUGGGUUUACGCGGUGGGUUCCCGUCAAAGCUAACGGCGGGGGGCACCGGUUGUAAAGAGGUGUUAUAAAACGGUGCAGGAGGCUGUAGAUGCGGCGCCGGAUAACCAGGUGAGCAAAAAGUUUGUGGUGCAUAUAAAAGCAGGGGUUUAUAACGAAAUCG
rnacentral:misc_RNA from 1 species